rnacentral:lncRNA from 1 species
CCUCCAGACAGCAAGACUGGAUCACACCUCCAGACAGCAAGACUGGAUCCCACCUCCAGACAGCAAGACUGGAUCCCAUCUCCAGACAGCAAGACUGGAUCCCAUCUCCAGACAGAAAGACUGGAUCCCAUCUCCAGACAGCAAGACUGGAUCCCAUCUCCAGACAGCAAGACUGGAUCCCAUCUCCAGACAGCAAGACUGGAUCACACCUCCAGACAGCAAGACUGGAUCCCACCUCCAGACAGCAAGACUGGAUCCCACCUUCAGACAGCAAGACUGGAUCACACCUUCAGACAGCAAGACUGGAUCCCAUCUCCAGACAGCAAUAUUAUUAUGAUUGUAUUUCCAGUGCCCACCAGGUGGCAGUGUGUGAUGUGGGUGUUGUAUUUUAUCCGUUUUAGACAGAUUUAUAUCCGUCUUCGUUCAAAGACUCAAUCAUUUUGAUGCUGCAUGUAUUGCCAGUAUACGUUGAUUUUAAUUAUGUCAUGUUUUACCCCCUACACCACUUUCAAUAACAUUGUAGAACAGUCCUGUAUGCCAAAUAAAAUCAAAUGCUGUUUGGAAGUCGAUAAAGCAAGAGAGCAUUUUG